UUGGAUUGAGACAACGUACAAACCUUAUCGAUAAACAAUUGGAGGGCAAGUCUGGUGCCAGCAGCCGCGGUAAUUCCAGCUCCAAUAGCGUAUAUUAACGUUGUUGCAGUUAAAAAGCUCGUAGUUGAAAUGAAGGGUAGUUGUGUAAUGAAUACAUUCGUGUAUUUUGUUAUUCAACUACCCUCCUUCUAAAUUCGAUAUAUGAGUAUUAAUUUACUUGUAUAUGGUUUUAGACGUUUACUGUGAGAAAAUUAGAGUGUUCAAAGCAGGCAUUUGCUUGAAUAUAUUAGCAUGGAAUAAUCAUGUAUGAUUUUCAUGAUGUAUUUGAUUGGUUUGGUUCAUGAGAAUAAGAUUAAAAGGGACAGUUGGGGGUAUUCAUAUUCAAUAGUCAGAGGUGAAAUUCUCGGAUUUAUGGAAGAUGAACAA
rnacentral:rRNA from 1 species